UCGGGGAUCGUCUAAUGGCAGGACAACAGGUUCUGGACCUGUUUAUCGGGGUUCGAGUCCCUGUCCCCGAG
rfam:Parcubacteria bacterium GW2011_GWA2_38_13 TS74_C0018, whole genome shotgun sequence.